rnacentral:rRNA from 1 species
AGCCACAGUCAUAUCACCCUGCAGCCCAAGAACGGUUACUUACUGAAAAUAAACAGGGCUGAGCCUGGUCAGUACCUGGAUGAAAGACCAAAUGGAAAAAACUAGGUUGCUGUUGGAA